ACACUUGUGUCAAGUGGUCUUUUUACCUAGCCUAUGAGGGCUGCUAAAUGCUUGCCCUUCACACAGGUAUUGCUCAGAACCAGGCAGGUGCUACUAAUUCAAGGAUAUGGCUCCUGCUCAGAGCAAAUGGAGCAGCCUGGUCACAGAUCUGGUUUGCAGUAGUGCUGCUUUACAGCUCUCUGGCAGAGUAAAGGUGUCUUUCAAAGCAGGGCUGGGCUGGAGUCUGAAAGAUGGUGUGGAUUCUCCUCUACCUCUGCUGCUCACUGCAAGCUCUGCAGCAGGAGUUUUCCCUGUUUCACAACUCGACGCUGCUGCCUUGUAUUUCAAGGACAGCAUGUGGAGAACAAACUCAAUCUGUUGUCUGAUUUCUGUUUUACUUUUUUGUGUGCCUCGAGGCUAUCCUCACAUUCCUCACAGUUGGUGAAUAUUUCCCUGAAUCUCAUUUAGAGCACUGUACCUACAAGCCAGAUCCUUGUCAUCUCUAAAAGAUGUUUGUUUCCAUAGAAGAAUAGCAAUGAGGUUACUGUCUACUCCUUUCACAGACAGCCAGACUGGGUGAAGUCCAAAUAUCCAAUCAUCCCUUGGAAUUCCUAUUGCAUGAAGAUAAAGCAGCCAAAAAUGAUUUCCACGAGCUGGAUGGUUCUAUAGCUUUCUGUGUUUAUCUAACAGAAAAUAUUAAGAGGUACAGUAGGUCAUGCACUAAACAGAGCAAAAUCAUGAGGCCUGUGGGAGCUGAUGGAGAUGAGUUUAUAAUUUAUUUAUUUGAUUAACUUAACCUCUCUGCUUGAGAAUUGCUGGCAGUUUUCUUGCAUUGCUCUUAUGUUUGUUUGAUAAAAGGAAAAAACAGCCCAGCUGUACUGUGAGGAAGAUGCUGAAAGUGGUUUUGGAGGAGGGGAGGAGGGAGAAGGGAGAGAGGAGAGUUUGCAGAGCUCUGCCAGAACCUUAUUUUUUCCUGCCUUCCAAGAACAGGGCUGUGUUCCAUCCCCUGCUGCCCCCUCAGCUGGUGCUGGGAAGAGCAGCUGAGUUUAGCUCACUGUUCCUGGAAGUCACCGAGACACCGAGCAUCGAGAAACCAGCAUUUUCUGCUUGAAUGGAAAAGAUGAGCCAAUCUUCAUCCCUCUUGUUUGCUCCCCUGGAUUAACCCUCACUGCACCAAGAGAGGCUACAAAGUGGGCUUUGUUAGAAAGGAACAAAGGCUUUCUUCAUUCACUGGGGCCAUAUGGCUGGAAGCCACUCUGCAAUACAAUGUCACAUCGUUGGCCAGAUGCAUCCCUGAUCUAACCCAGGCUCAUUAGAUUGAUGCUAGAUUCACCUUUUAUUUUCUUAUCUUGCCCAUCAGAACUGAAGCACAAGCAGCUGCUCAGAGAGCAGGCAUGGCUCUAGUGACCAUGUCCUCCCUGGGCUCUGUGCUUCAGGAGAGUGCUGCUUUUAGGAGUGCAAAGAACUUGUCAGCCACAGGCUGCCCCAAAGCUGUCCUGGUUAAAGGGUAUCUUGCAGGUGUUUAACAGCACGGUGCUGUGCACUGGUGAACCAAACGUUUGAUAGUGUGCUUUUAGAACCAAAUAGAGUCUGCGGGAUGUAGGGUAAAUUCCAGUCAGUAAAUGAAAUUACUCAUUUGAAGGUCUGCCUUUCUGUUAUGGAUAGGGAGGAGGAAUAUGUAGUUUAUAAUCUUUUAAGUUGGAUUCUGUUUCUUGCUGCAUGACUGGGGCCAAGCACUGUUCUCUGAUACCUCAGUUUCACCAGUGUACUGUAGGCUGUUCUGAAACUAUGGUUCAGUUCAUGAUCCUUUGAGCUUAUUGAUGCUUGUGGGGUCCCCAGGCAGAGAUCUCUGGAAGCAGAUUGUUACUGGCUCACUGGCAAUGCACUGGCUCAUUUGCUGCUGUCUUCAAAGCUUGUUAUUCUGCAGCUGUGACUGUCACAGCCAUAGCCCCAAUGCCACAUUUAUCUGGGUCUGAUGGUAGGAAUGAAUCUCAUGAGAUCCAGAUUAACAGAUUCAGGUGACCAGAACAUAGCAGAUGGAGGCAUUUCUGUUGCUAUUUCAGUGAAUGCAAUUAGAAGAUAAGUAGUCCAAAGGUAUUUCUCUUUCAAUAUUUUUCUCUUUCUGUAUUCAGAGAAGAAAGAAAAUCUCUUCCUUUUCC